GCCACUACUCUACCCAAGAUGGGGUCCUUCUGUAGGAUGGACCAGUGACGGUUUAAUAUUUCCCUGAUUUUGUGAUGUGCUGAGUUGUAGCGAGUUAUGAAGAUGUUGUAUUUAUAUUUAUUCUCAUCAUCUGUUUGUGG